UCAGGCCUAACACAUGCAAGUCGAGCGGUUUAAAGUACUUGUACUUUAGAUAGCGGCGGACGGGUGAGUAAUGCUUAGGAAUCUGCCUAUUAGUGGGGGACAACAUUUCGAAAGGGAUGCUAAUACCGCAUGAGUCCUACGGGAGAAAGCAGGGGAUCUUUAUGACCUUGCGCUAAUAGAUGAGCCUAAGUCGGAUUAGCUAGUUGGUGGGUAAAGGCCUACCAAGGCGACGAUCUGUAGCGGGUCUGAGAGGAUGAUCCGCCACACUGGGACUGAGACACGGCCCAGACUCCUACGGGAGGCAGCAGUGGGGAAUAUUGGACAAUGGGGGGAACCCUGAUCCAGCAAGGCCGCGUGUGUGAAGAAGGCCUUUUGGU
rnacentral:rRNA from 1 species